UGGGAGUGGUGGCACAUACCUAAUCUCCACAGUCGGGACCAAGAGGCGGGAUGAUCACUGCAUAGUGAGUUCCAGGCCAGUAUGAGCCAGAGACUGAAACAGGAAACCCAAAAGCUGGGGACCGAACCCAGGGCCUUGCGCAUGCUAGGCAAGCACUCAACCACUGAGCUAAAUCCUCAACCCUGCAGCAACUGUUCUUAAACAACGAACUAUGUUACCAUCUCCAACUUCUGUAUCUUAUUCUACUAGGUUAUCACAUACUCCAGGCUGGCCUUGAGCUGUUAAUGCUCCUGGUUUAACUUCCCAAAUGCUGUGUUUAUAAGUUUGUGACAUCAUACCCAGCUCUCAAGUUAGGAUAAACCCAGUUCAAAUCAGGUAUGUCCAACUUUAAACUUUUCAGCCAUAUGUACAUAGACACGUUCAGGUGCUUUUCUUUUGGUACUGAUUUGUCUUGUGUUAAUGACAGGUUUUACUUUCCAAUACUAAACUAUUACACUGGUUCUUAGGGAGAUUUCUCAGAGGUAAAAUGUAAAGUGAUUUAACCAGUGAGAAAAUUACCAUCAUCCACUACCACCAGGCAUUUUGGGGCACACCCUGGGCAUGCUCAGAACCACCGGGAGCUUGGUACUUCAGUUAUAGCUGGAUCAGCCUAGUCAAAUGUCUUGAAAGCCUAUGCCUCCUCCCAUAACUUCUAUAUAUUGGUGUAUGCUCAAAUUCACACUUUGUUUUUGUUUUGUAUUCGGUUUUCUGAGAAUGUCUCUCUGUGCAGCCUUGGCUGCUUCCUGAGUGCUGGAAUUAAAGGGGUACACUACCACACCUGGCCUAUGUUCAUAUUUUUGCAAGCCCAUUACUGUCCUGUCUUAACAAGCUGUAUACAUUAAUGUCUUUAACUUUUCUGAGACGAUCUUACCACGUAAAGACCAAUAUAGCCCUGAACUCAAGUGGUAACCAUGAACCUAGCCUAGCCUCUCUGCUCGCUGGGGUUAUAGGUAUAAAACUACCACACUCAGUUUAAAUCUUUUACCAGUACCCUCUGGAAUCCUUUCUUCUAAUUAAUUUUUUUUUUUUUUUUUUUGCUCAGAGUUAAAAGUUUAAAAGUGAAUUAAACUUUUGCUAGAGACCAUGUUACCCACAUGGGUCAUUUCUCUGAAAAUUCUCACUUUAAAAAUAUGUGAAAUUAGCUGGGCACGGCGCUGCAUUACUGUAAUCUCAGCUCUCCUGGAGGAGGGCUAAAAGAAUGGAGACUUCCAUUCCCAAUUCUCUUGAGCUAUAAAGCAAGACCCUGCCUCGCAAAACGAAGAACCUAAAUGUGUCAGCUUACAUCUCUACAGAGCACGGGACGCUAAGGCAGGAUCAGCAGGAUCCCGGAUUAGGAGACAGAAGGGAAAGGGGAAGACGCUGAGGUCUAGUCUUUACAAAAACAUUAUCUAUCCACGUUGUAGUGUCAACCUUGUUAGAGACAGAUUAUUUCUCUAGGGUUUUUGUCGUUUCCAAAAGGGGAACUCCGGCACAUAGCUCAGGAGAGAAGAGCCGUCUAGCAUGCUGGAGGUCUGGGUUCGAUCUGGACCACCAGGCAGAAAGGUCCAAUUAGACUGUUCGUUGUUUAUUGAAGUUCUAGAAAUGGGCCUUCAAAUGAAAAGCAUCAUGAAGAGUGGGAAAAGAUACUAUGCUUCUCUGGUUCCUCUUUUCCUCUCCAGAUCUGAAAAUCUGGAUCCUCAAAGUGUAUGAAGCAUCAAAGUCAGAAGCAGCAGCCAAUUCCAUCCCGGCUUUGACAACCCAAGAGGAGAGGCAGCAUGCACAGGAGGUGGGGCUUUUCUGGGCCCUCCCAGGAAGGAAGGUGAGAGAGAUGGGAGGAGAGGAAAUGGCUCUUUUCAUUCACCUUAAUUUUACAAGUUAAGUAACUUUGCCUGAGCCCUGUCUUGUUAAGGAAAAUUGGACAUGCCGCUUGGAGAAACCUGUGCUACCCUGUGGCUUAAUUCCCCCAAACCACGUCUACUAUGUAGUUAACGAAACAGAUCUCAUCGUCAAACCUACCUCUUUGAAGCAAGUGUCGUAGCUGGGUAAUGCUAGAUUAUGUUUAUACAUUUGCUUGCUAAUUUGUUAAUUGAUAGCAUACACUAAAACACUAAAUUAAGGAGGAUUCCCCCCUUUGACUUUAACUGUGGGAAAAUCUUUUCAACAGAAAUUCUGACAGGAAAAGUGACCACAAGAAAAUCAGGUCCCCUCAGACACUGUAUAAUUUGAACAUUUCAGUUUGUCUCCUCUCCCUUCACACUACUCUCUGAUGUCUGGCUUUGUUAGAGAGCAUUUAUCAGACUCCUAAUAGUAAUCUAAGCAUACACCUCAUAUUUCAUCUUCAGUUUUAAGUAUUUGUUAAACUAUUACAUCCAGAACAUUUGAAAAUGAACUUUUCCAGUUUUUUUGUUAACUAUGUACCUGGGGGGCACGGGACAAAAAAACAAAACAAAACCAGCUCAAGAUCUCAUUUGUGCAUUGUGCUUCUCCUCACAGUCAUGUUUAACUCUGUCCUGGCCCGGUGCAUCCCAUUUGUCCUCACUAGCAAUUCAGCACUCGGCCACAGGUCUCUGCGCUCACCCUGGACUUUCAGCUCGCUGCGCACCAGCUAACCCGUCUCUCCACUCUCUUGGCAACCUGUGCUUUUAUGCGAAUGGCAGGUGAAAAUGUGAUUUGCACAUCUUAAAAAUCAGGAGAGCAAAGAGCAAAAAAGAGCAAUGCUUUUAAACUGCUGUCCACACUCAGUAUACUUUUAAAUAUAGAUGUUAACUAAAACCCUUUUCAGUAUUAAGAAGGGUGUUCAAAGUAAUUCACAUUAAAAGGCAUUCUAUUCGGUAGCUGUGUUUAUUGGUGGGUUAUUUUGCCAGUGUUUUAGUUCACACAUAACUGAUAGACCCUGUCAGUGACUGCGUUACCUGAAAGGUAGAAGCUGUUUCCAUUUGUAUGCUGUGAUUACUUUAUAGUCCUCAAAUCUUGCAUCUUUUACAGAAAAUGAUAUAGAAAGCAUAGUAACUGUAAUUUGCCACAACACAUUUUCUCCAAAUCUUAGUGUAAAACACAACACACUUUUGUGCACUCUACUUUUAUAGAACAACCAGAUUUAUAGUUGAUUUCUUUAUUUUAUUAGAUUUAUCAAUAUACAUGGCAGCUUUUUCAAAUUUCAGUUCCAAAGUAAUUUUAAAAAUGAAAAAUCAUUUUUCUUUAGAUGUCAUAUUCCUAAAGAGCUAUUAAAGUCUAUUUAUAAACAAAAUAAUUGAUAAACUAACACACUUUAGAAAUCAGAAUAUUUUUAAAUUAAAAUAUUUUAAUGAAUACAAGAUGUCUUUUUUAAUUAACUAUCAUAGUUAAAUUCAUUAUCACAAAACAAAAUGGCUUAUCCCCACUAAUUUCUCAAGUGAGGCAAAGUCAUUGGGAUUUACACUUAAUAUAAGUUUUAAAUGUGAUUAUUAAAUGAUAACAUUUUAUCAAUUAUAGGAAAUGUUCGUUUAUAGGAGUUUCCUUAGGUCCAUCAAUCUCAGGCCAAGAUUGAGCCCAUGUCAACCUUAAAGGUUAGAUUCAGUGCACCUCACUUGCCUAAUAAGUUUGUCAAUUUAAGAAUAUAGAUUUCAUUUAUAAGGGAGAAUAGUAGCCACCCCACUAUACAACUGACAAAAAGCCCCCCGCCAAACAAACAAACAAACAAACAAACAAAAAAACCCCCAAAAACCCAAAAAGCAAAAAACAAAAAGUUAAAAACAAAUAGAAUAGUUUUAAAUAAUUA